rnacentral:ribozyme from 1 species
AAACGAAAGAAAGAAAGAAAAGAAGAACGAAAGAACGAAGAAGGAACAGGCAGGCGUGCGUAUAGAAAUGAGACGUCUUUUAC